ensembl:lncRNA novel transcript
AAUUGGAAUAUAGGGCAGAACUGGAACUUUGCAUCUAAACUUGGAGGAAAACAGAGCUUGGAAGACCGACAAGUGAACAGUUGAUAGUGUCCUGUUCUCCUGUUGUGUACACUGCCGAGCAUCUCCUGGUAGAUGGUGUCAGAACUGAAUUAGAGGACACACAGCUGGUGUCUGCUGCUUUGUUUGUGGGGGAAAAAAACCCAUGCAUCUGGUCACGGAAGUCUUCUGUGCUGAUGAUUGUAGUGGUGUGAGUGCAGAGGAAAAUCACGGUUAGAGAAAGUUUUCCCUACACAAGUAGGCUAGGAAUUCCUGUGUGCACCAUCUCCAUCACCUUUCACGUUCUCCUGCCUUGGAGGAACUGUGGAUGAAAAUGACUACAGAAUAAAGGAUUAUUACUUCAGACGA